ACAAAGAAACAGGUUUUAGGCCGA
rnacentral:siRNA from 1 species